GAGAAAGUCUGGAUGUGAAAAGAAGGUUGUGUGUGUGUUUAUUCAUUGUUUAUAUGUUGUAUUAGAUAGAGCCCAUUGAAUUCAUUCUUUGACAUUCAGGAAGAGAGCUUGAGCCGUAAAGAGAGAGAGAGAGAGAGAGAGAGAGAGAGAAGGAAGGAACUCAAGGCUUGAGAAUUGAAGGAAGAACAAAGGAGAAGAGGGUUUUGUGGGAUAUCAAGAGUCAAGCAAAAUAUUGUGGAAAAAUCAUCAUAAGGAUUGGAGGGAGGCGUCUCUACACCUCUUGGGAAUUAAUUCGUAGAGUUUCAAUCUAUGCUUUUGCUAAUUUGGAGAUUCAUAGACUUUUGUGUGGCUCGCCUCAACUUGGAAGACUAGAAUUUUUUUGAAGGAUCACAGGUGGGCAUCUUGUGGUUGAGGUUUUGCUUAGGGUCAUUCUAGGAUGUAAGCUUACCCUUUUUUUUUUAUGAAGGAGGUUGAUUGUAAAAUUUGCUUAUGAAGUUGGAUGUAUUGAUGGAUUCGUGAUUAGUAUGUAUUAUAUUUUUUUUUGGAGGAAAUGCUUGGGAACUAUCUUGUAGCAUGAUAAUACUUUUUUUUGUCUUUGAAUAGAUCAUCUCAUAUAUGUUAGGCAAUUGAAAGGUCUUAUGCACUUUUGGUGA